UGAUCGCCAGAAGGAAAGGAAGAGUAUGGCCAUUUCAUUAAGAUUUGAAAUAACUAUAAAACUAUGCAAGUUGUCUGAAGGGCCCUGACUGCCAGAAGAAGAGGAAGAAUAUAACAAUUUCAUAUGAUACACCAACCAUUUUAUUAAUUAAGAUUUUAAAUAACUAUAAACUAUGACCUCCAAAACUUAAACCAGAAAGCAAAGAAGCUAUAAACAAAGACCAUAUUGUUCUUCAUGAGUUUACAUUAUAAUGUUGUGCUUGUAUCUGACUGUGAGAAUGAGAAAGAGGAGAUGGGAUGGAUGUCUGGUCACAACAGUGUUCUGCCAUUCACCACCAUGAUUAUAGUGGAGUGCGUCAACUUGGGGUCAGGUGUCUUCUUUAAGGCAGCUGCCCCAAGAGGGUUGAGCUACUAUGUUCUCAUUGUUUACUCUCAUGCAAUUGCCAUCUUUCGCAGAACCGGGCUUCCACCAUUCAAGCUCUCUCUCAUAUUUAACCUCUUCCUCCUCAGGAUAAUCGGGUUUUUGGGUAGUUUAUGUGGAUAUAAAGGUAUAGAAUACAGUUCACCGACUCUUGCAUGCUUCAGCUAUUGGGAACCUAUCUCCAGCUUUUAUCUUCAUACUUGCCAUAACCUUCAGUAUGGAAAAACUGAAUUGGAGAAGCAGAAGCACUCAAGCCAAAGUGAUGGGUACUCUAGUAGCAAUAUCAGGUGCAAUCGUAGUAGUGCUUUAUAAAGGCCCAACAAUUCUAUCACCUACAACUCCAUCCUUUCUCGGAAUUUCAGAAACGGAGUGGGUAAGCAGUGGCCUAUUACUUACUCUUGGAUACCUUCUCUUCUCUGUGUGGGCUAUCCUGCAGACCCAUAUCAUGAAGACAUACCCAGAUGAGCUAGUUCUCACCUUCCUAUACAACUUGCGUGGGACAAUUGUAUCAACACCAACAUGUAUCAUAGCGGAAAAAAACUUGAUUGCCUGGAAGCUAACAUCCGGUAUACCAUUGCUUGCCACACUAUAUACUCAGACUAUCCAUUCAUGUGUUAGCUUGAUAUACAAUGUUGGCUAGAACAUCUGUCCUGUGUUUAGGGGUCUGGUGGUUGUCUAAUGCUUUAGU